rnacentral:rRNA from 1 species
GACGAACGCUGGCGGCGUGCUUAACACAUGCAAGUCGAGCGGAAAGGCCCUGCUUGCAGGGUACUCGAGUGGCGAACGGGUGAGUAACACGUGGGUGAUCUGCUCUGCACUUCGGGAUAAGCCUGGGAAACUGGGUCUAAUACCGGAUAGGAGCCAUUUUUAGUGUGAUGGUUGGAAAGUUUUUUCGGUGUAGGAUGAGCUCUCGGCCUAUCAGCUUGUUGGUGGGGUAAUGGCCUACCAAGGCGGCGACGGGUAGCCGGCCUGAGAGGGUGGACGGCCACAUUGGGACUGAGAUACGGCCCAGACUCCUACGGGAGGCAGCAGUGGGGAAUAUUGCACAAUGGGCGCAAGCCUGAUGCAGCGACGCCGCGUGGGGGAUGACGGCCUUCGGGUUGUAAACUCCUUUCGCUAGGGACGAAGCUGUUUGUGACGGUACCUAGAUAAGAAGCACCGGCUAACUACGU